UACGGAGGGAGCUAGCGUUGUUCGGAAUUACUGGGCGUAAAGCGCACGUAGGCGGCUUUGUAAGUUAGAGGUGAAAGCCCGGGGCUCAACUCCGGAACUGCCUUUAAGACUGCAUCGCUUGAAUCCGGGAGAGGUGAGUGGAAUUCCGGAGUGUAGAGGUGAAAUUCGUAGAUAUUCGGAAGAACACCAGUGGCGAAGGCGGCUCACUGGUCCGGUACUGACGCUGAGGUGCGAAAGCGUGGGGAGCAAACAGG
rnacentral:rRNA from 1 species